rnacentral:tRNA from 1 species
AGCGCGGUAGAGCAGUCCGGUCAGCUUGCCAGGCUCAUAACCUGGACGUCACAGGUUCGAAUCCUGUUCGCGCUA